GUAGUCCUGGCUGUAAACGAUGGGUACUAGGUGUGGGAGGUUCGACCCCUUCCGUGCCGCAGCUAACGCAUUAAGUACCCCGCCUGGGGAGUACGGCCGCAAGGUUGAAACUCAAAGGAAUUGACGGGGGCCCGCACAAGCGGUGGAGCAUGUGGUUUAAUUCGAUGCAACGCGAGGAACCUUACCAGGGCUUGACAUUGUGGUGGUAGGAGCCCGAAAGGGUGACGACCCCUGGUUUCCAGGGGAGCCACAACAGGUGCUGCAUGGUUGUCGUCAGCUCGUGUCGUGAGAUGUUGGGUUAAGUCCCGCAACGAGCGCAACCCUUGCCCUUAGUUGCUACCGGGGAAACCCGGGCACUCUAAGGGGACUGCCAGCGACAAGCUGGAGGAAGGUGGGGAUGACGUCAAAUCCUCAUGGCCCUGAUGCCCUGGGCUACACGCGUGCUACAAUGGCCGGUACAGAGGGUCGCGAACCCGCGAGGGGGAGCCAAUCCCAGAAAGCCGGCCUCAGUUGGGAUUGCAGGCUGCAACCCGCCUGCAUGAACGCGGAAUCGCUAGUAAUCGCGCAUCAGCCACGGCGCGGUGAAUACGUUCCCGGGCCUUGUACACACCGCCCGUCACACCACGAAAGUCGACUUCACCUGAAGUCGCUGGGCUAACCCUCGAUGAGAGGGAGGCAGGCGCCGAGGGUGGGGUUGAUGAUUGGGGUGAAGUCGUAACAAGGUAGCCGUAGGGGAACCUGCGGCUGGAUCACCUCC
rnacentral:rRNA from 1 species